GUAGAAAAAGAGAAGUCCUGUGCUAUUUGCGAGACUGAGUUCAGAAAGUUUUUAGCCAAAGCAAGUGUGAAUACUGAAAAAAAAUUUUCACGAGAUUCACAAAUGAACUCGAAUCGAGCCAAUCUAGCAUAUGACUGACAAUGGAGUCUGAUGAGUUCUCCAUGACCUUCGUUAAAUCGGAACUCACAAUAGAAGGACUGAAUCAUAUGAUAACUGCAUCUAAGAAUUCAUACUUUUAUUCUACUGGAUUACCACUAUAC
rnacentral:lncRNA from 1 species